rnacentral:rRNA from 1 species
GAGUUUGAUCUUGGCUCAGAUUGAACGCUGGCGGCAUGCCUUACACAUGCAAGUCGAACGGCAGCAUGAUCUAGCUUGCUAGAUUGAUGGCGAGUGGCGAACGGGUGAGUAAUACAUCGGAACGUGCCCUGUAGUGGGGGAUAACUAGUCGAAAGAUUAGCUAAUACCGCAUACGACCUGAGGGUGAAAGUGGGGGACCGCAAGGCCUCAUGCUAUAGGAGCGGCCGAUGUCUGAUUAGCUAGUUGGUGGGUAAAGGCCCACCAAGGCGACGAUCAGUAGCUGGUCUGAGAGGACGAUCAGCCACACUGGGACAGAGACACGGCCCAGACUCCUACGGGAGGCAGCAGUGGGGAAUUUGGACAAUGGGCGAAAGCCUGAUCCAGCAAUGCCGC